GCGGUGGAUCAUGUUGUUUAAUUCGAUGAUACGCGAAGAACCUUACCAGGUCUUGACAUCCCCCGCGAUGCUUUAGAGAUAAAGCGGAGGUAUUCGGGGAGACAGGUGGUGCAUGGUUGUCGUCAGCUCGUGUCGUGAGAUGUUGGGUUAAGUCCCGCAACGAGCGCAACCCCUAUUGCUAGUUACCAUCAUUAAGUUGGGGACUCUAGCGAGACUGCCAGUGAUAAACUGGAGGAAGGUGGGGAUGACGUCAAAUCAUCAUGCCCCUUAUGACCUGGGCUACAAACGUGAUACAAUGGCUGGAACAAAGGGAUGCGAAGCAGUGAUGUGGAGCGAAACCCAUAAAAACAGUCUCAGUUCGGAUUGAAGUCUGCAACUCGACUUCAUGAAGUCGGAAUCGCUAGUAAUCGCGGAUCAGAACGCCGCGGUGAAUACGUUCUCGGGGUUU
rnacentral:rRNA from 1 species